GGGUUGCGGAGGGUGGGCCUGGGAGGGGUGGUGGCCAUUUUUUGUCUAACCCUAACUGAGAAGGGCGUAGGCGCCGUGCUUUUGCUCCCCGCGCGCUGUUUUUCUCGCUGACUUUCAGCGGGCGGAAAAGCCUCGGCCUGCCGCCUUCCACCGUUCAUUCUAGAGCAAACAAAAAAUGUCAGCUGCUGGCCCGUUCGCCCCUCCCGGGGACCUGCGGCGGGUCGCCUGCCCAGCCCCCGAACCCCGCCUGGAGGCCGCGGUCGGCCCGGGGCUUCUCCGGAGGCACCCACUGCCACCGCGAAGAGUUGGGCUCUGUCAGCCGCGGGUCUCUCGGGGGCGAGGGCGAGGUUCAGGCCUUUCAGGCCGCAGGAAGAGGAACGGAGCGAGUCCCCGCGCGCGGCGCGAUUCCCUGAGCUGUGGGACGUGCACCCAGGACUCGGCUCACACAUGCAGUUCGCUUUCCUGUUGGUGGGGGGAACGCCGAUCGUGCGCAUCCGUCACCCCUCGCCGGCAAUGGGGGCUUGUGAACCCCCAAACCUGA
ensembl:lncRNA TERC telomerase RNA component